UACGAAGGGGGCUAGCGUUGCUCGGAAUCACUGGGCGUAAAGCGCACGUAGGCGGCUUUCUAAGUCAGGGGUGAAAUCCUGGAGCUCAACUCCAGAACUGCCUUUGAUACUGGAGAGCUCGAGUCCGGAAGAGGUGAGUGGAACUGCGAGUGUAGAGGUGAAAUUCAUAGAUAUUCGCAAGAACACCAGUGGCGAAGGCGGCUCACUGGUCCGGUACUGACGCUGAGGUGCGAAAGCGUGGGGAGCAAACAGG
rnacentral:rRNA from 1 species